CAGGGGCCCGACGGCGGGCGGCGGAGGAUGGCGCAGGCGAUGCUGCGUUGGGCUCUGCUGCUUGUGGCCGUGACUUUCGCAGGUAGCGCUCGGAGCAAUCCUGACGAGCCAGGACCUCCGGAGGAGCGCGGGAGAGGGAGUCACGCCGGCGGCGGCCCCUGCCCGGCUCCGGGCGGCCUCGGCGACGGUACCCCCGCAUCCGUUACUGGCGGUUCCCCAGCGUACUUGCUAGGUGGAGGGGCGCGAACCCUGGGGUGUGGGGGUGGCGUUGUGGAGUCAGCCGCCCUCUUUAGUUCUUGCUUGGGCUUAGCUCCCAGCUCCAAGGGACACCUGCUGUCUAGGGGGCUUUCUCUGUUAAAGUAGAUUUUCUGGCACUCUGGCCCCUCGAUUUGGUCAGGCUUCAGAAUAUAGAACGCCAAACUGCGCUCAGUAUAAAUUACCAGGAUGUCCCAGGGACUUUAACCCUGUGUGUGGCAGUGACAUGUCCACUUACCCCAAUGAAUGUAUUCUGUGCAUGAAAAUCAGGGAAGAUGGUCAUGAUAUUAAAAUCAUCCGAAAUGAACCCUGCUAAUGGAGCAGUUUACAGAAAAGAAGAUGGAGAGACCACCUUGACCGGCACACUGGAUAAAUUGCAUUUCCUCUUUUUCUCUUUUCCUGUUUCUUUGCAUGAGAUUUGUUAAUCCACAUUUUCUGAGAGGAGAUAUGGAAGACAGCCAUGUGCAGUGAUGGAUAACUUAAAGAAAAAAAGCAUCUUCGUUUCUUGGCUUUUGCUCCUAGAGAUAAGCUUACUGCCUAGAUGACUUGUGCAUUGGUUUAUUCAGUUGAAAUAAAAUCAGCAUUGAAUUCA